rnacentral:ncRNA from 1 species
AGGAGCCGUAUGAGAUGAAAAUCUCAUGUACGGUUCUGCAAUAAGGAUGAGAACAGUGAUGUUAUCUAACAGUUCAAAUACAGUUGAUAUAGUUGAAGCGCAAUCAAUAUAU